AUUCAGACAAGUAGCAGCAGCUCCAGGGCUUCAGAUAAUUUCUGUGUUUCAGUUCUUUUCAUUCCAUCCCUCUCAAGUAGUGCUUUGUCUCAGGGGUUGUUGUUUAAAUUCAAGCUCCAUCAUUGUGACUGCUGUACUAGGAGAAAAGUCAGAAGAGUGGAAAAUUUUGAAGAAGUAUCUCUGGCAAGAAUCUAGAAAGCUCUCCUCUAGAGACUCCUAGAACAUCAUCGUUUCCUGAUUUCUUUGCUGGCUGCUUUUAUAACCAAACUCCAAACAUCAAAAUUAUCAUCUUAGUCCUGGGUGUUCUGUCCUAAUGUGUUAACUGCAAAAAUGACCUCAAUUCUUAGGAACUUCUGCCAUCAGUAGCUGGAGUCUAUUGGGUUUCAAGUCUGGGCCUCAAGAGGCAUUGCAAACUUUCAUCCUCUCUUUUGAGAUUUCAGCACCAUCACCAAAUGAACAAGUCCCAGGUAGCCUGCUGGAGGAUGUACAACCAUGUGGAACGCCGAUGAGCCAUCACAGCUGAGUUGUUUUGGACCUGCUAGCUCUAAACCAAUGUCGCAGCUGUCUGUAGAAGCACGAAUGAGAUAUGGCCAAGCUCCAUUGAGCCUGGCCCAGAUAAGCAGAACUGUUUCACGGAGCCCAGGACAAAUUGCCAAACCCCAGUAUUGUGUAUUCAAUAAUUUCUAGUUGUUCUAAGCCACUAAGUUUCAGGGUGACUUGUUAAGUGGUUAUAACUACCUAAUAAGUACAUUUUGUAUUUCCUUUUUAUUAUCAUCUACCAUAGCCUGUUAUUAUUUUCUUUGUUUGUUUAUUUAUUUAUUAGCUGUUUCUCUGCAAAUGUAGGACAAUUGCAUUGUCUUGUCCUCUGAUGUAUUCAAAACAGUUGGUGACUGGCACGUCAAAGACACUUAUUGAAAAGUUACUGAAUAAAUGAACACAUGAUUGGAUGAAUAAAUGUUUAUAGGUAAAACUUCCAAAAGUAUAUUGAUAAAAAUGAAUAUUUCUAUCAGUUAUAUUAAUAACUUAUUUGCUGUCUAGAAUGACUCAGGAAAUUUAAUGUAUAUUAUUAAAGCACAAUUUCUAUUUUUUGUUUUAGGUUGUUUUUCUGCCAUUGCUAUCUACUUUGAUUAUUUUGCUAU
rnacentral:lncRNA from 1 species